rnacentral:lncRNA from 1 species
AUAGUUUUGCAGGAUGUCUCAGUCUGCGUUGGAAGUUGUGGUCUUUUAUGGCUUGAAACACUUCACUUCAUACUCUCCUGGCCUUUCAGGUACAAAAUGCCUGACAUACAGUGGAAGGAAAUGAAGAAAGAAAGAUAACUGCUGCACGAGAACCACGAAGCACAAAACAAAACAGGUGCCAGAGAGGAAGAGGGAGGGAGAAGACAAGGCCCCUAAUGUCACACCUCCACGAGAACCAGACACACGUGCAGUGUGCUUUACCAACAUCCUACACACCUCUCAUGCCAAACAAGUUAGCAAUCAAGAGUGUCAUAUGACUCCAGUGAAUUAACUCUGGAACUGGCUUAGCAGACUGGUGACUCUAUUUGGAAGAGCAACACACAAGUAAGAAGACUGGAGUAGCCAGGCAUGGUGGUGC